UACCCUCCACCCCCCGACAGGCCCUAGUGUGUGAUGUUUCCUUCCCUGUGUCCAUGUGUUCUCAUUGUUCAACAGGGAGAAUAUAUUCUUAACAUGUUUGGAACAAAGCAGAUUCAUAAUAGUAGUUGCUGUCAUGAUUACCACCAUCAUCACCAUCAUCCCCAAGGUAUCCCCAUGGGCUGGUCAGACGUGUGAAACUGGCAGAAGAGAAGAAAUGUUGAAGGCUUUUGUUUCUUUCUUCAACACACCUUGCCUCUUAUAAGAGAUUAUGCAAGGUAUGGUGGGGGUACCUGAGGUAGGGGAAGGGGCAUUGGAGAUGGAAAGGAAAUGGGAGGAGUAGAAAAAAUAAUAUCAGAGGGGAAUCAGGUGAGCAGAAUAGACUCAUGGCUUGAGCUUACUGCUCUCACAUCUUAUUUGCCUGAAGUAUGUUCAGUUAUCCAACGUCCCUCUUAUCUAUUUUUUAUAAGCCUAGCAUUCAUGACUUAAAAACACUGUUAAUGCUUACACCCUUAAAAUCUUAAUGGCUGUUCCUUUAAACUGGUGCCCAGGGAAAAGUGCUUUUUGACAUAACAAACAUUUCUGGUAGAGAAUUAUGAUAAUGAGGCAAAGUCUUUAUUUUCAGCUCCCAAUUACCUUUCAAUCCAGUUGCCAUCAUUAAGCCACACUUGCAUUUAGUGUGCUGGAAGUUGGAGAAAUGAGUGCAUUACCAGCAAAGCAUGAAAGGCCAGUGCUUUGCAUAAUCAUUGCAGAAACUAGGCUCGGAUUUGGCAUCUGUCACUCUCACCCUGCAGUUCCCCUGUUUGGAAUCCUGCCCAGGCAGCAUUCUAGUGACUAGUUUUAAUGAUUUUCAAAUGCCGGUGUGGAUUGCCUAGUCACCCACAGUUGCUCUUUCUUCAUUGCACAUUUUUGUUUUAAACAGAUUCCCUAUGAUGAUUCUACAUUUGCCACAGUAAUAAGAGGAAGGACACUCUUCACUUGCUUGAUACUGCUGACAAAGUGGACACUGUGAACAUCACCUUGGGUGGGAGGAAGGCAGAACCUCCAACUGGUCUUGAUUGGUGAUAGUAAAAUGGAGACACUGAGACCCUGACCCUCUUGAGAGCAUCAACCCACACAUCUGUUUGAUCCAAUUCUGCUCUGUACCUGGGUUGAAAGAAGGGCAUCCAUCUAUUCAUCUAUUCAUGGACAUCAGACAUUCAUGUAAAGCUUGUUCUGUGCUAGGCCCUGGAAAGACAAAGACAAACAAGGACCCAGCACUCAAGAGGCUUGUGACAUGGAGCAACCAGAGCAUGGAAUGGGCUGAUUGGUCAGGCUUGGGAUGUGGUCCAUCACUGGAGCCAAAGUAUCAAGGUUAUGUUAUUGAAGAAGGAGGAUGCUGGUCAGGGUAAAAAUACAGGUGCCCAUUGCAGGUUCCUGCCCUCAAGGAGCUUAAAGUCCAAAGGGAGAUGUUUAGAUAAAAACUGCAGUUACAGAUGGUCUUGUGUGGCCCCAAGGAAGGUAACAGUGCUAUCAGCACUUACAACACCUGAGCUAUUCCAAGGCCUGAGAAGGUAGCUCUGAGAAAGUGAUGUGUGCAUUGAGGUCUGAUAAGUGUGUAUGACUUACCUUCAUGUCCUCGUUUGUAUACAUGUAAUGCAUAUCUAAUAAUAACCAGUAAGAACUUUCAUUCUAUAGGGAAAAGUUUUUGCUUGCAUAUGGUUUUCAUUUUUAAUGGCUGUAUAAUAUACUACAGUGUUUUGUAUAGUAAUUCUAUCCUGUUGUCCAGUUAAAUAUUUACUUUCUCUUCUCAUUAAAUGUUCAUCAGCAAACAUAU